rnacentral:rRNA from 1 species
CCUACGGGAGGCAGCAGUGAGGAAUAUUGGUCAAUGGGCGCGAGCCUGAACCAGCCAAGUAGCGUGAAGGAUGACUGCCCUACGGGUUGUAAACUUCUUUUAUAAAGGAAUAAAGUGCGGCACGUGUGACUUUUUGUAUGUACUUUAUGAAUAAGGAUCGGCUAACUCCGUGCCAGCAGCCGCGGUAAUACGGAGGGUCCGAGCGUUACCCGGAUUUAUUGGGUUUAAAGGGAACGCAGAUGGGUUGUUAAGUCAGUUGUGAAAGUUAGGGGCUCAACCGGAAAAUUGCAAUUGAUACUGGCAGGCUUGAGUACUGUAGAGGUAGGUAGAAUUCGAGGUGUAGCGGUGAAAUGCGUAGAUAUGAGGAAGAAUACCGAUGGCGAAGGCAGCCUACUAAACAGCCACUGACAUUGAUGCGCGAAAGUGUGGGUAGCAAACAGGAUUAGAUACCCUGGUAGUC